AUUGAACGCUGGCGGCAGGCUUAACACAUGCAAGUCGAGCGGGGUGAUGGUGCUUGCACUAUCACUUAGCGGCGGACGGGUGAGUAAUGCUUAGGAAUCUGCCUAUUAGUGGGGGACAACAUCUCGAAAGGGAUGCUAAUACCGCAUACGUCCUACGGGAGAAAGCAGGGGAUCACUUGUGACCUUGCGCUAAUAGAUGAGCCUAAGUCGGAUUAGCUAGUUGGUGGGGUAAAGGCCUACCAAGGCGACGAUCUGUAGCGGGUCUGAGAGGAUGAUCCGCCACACUGGGACUGAGACACGGCCCAGACUCCUACGGGAGGCAGCAGUGGGGAAUAUUGGACAAUGGUGUGAACCCUGAUCCAGCCAUGCCGCGUGUGUGAAGAAGGCCUUAUGGUUGUAAAGCACUUUAAGCGAGGAGGAGGCUCUUUUGGUUAAUACCCAAGAUGAGUGGACGUUACUCGCAGAAUAAGCACCGGCUAACUCUGUGCCAGCCGCCGCGGUAA
rnacentral:rRNA from 1 species